UCGCAGAGGCCAGACUUCCCUCGCUCUCUCUCUCUCUUUAUUUCGCUCUCUCCUUUGGUCGAUCGAUCUAUAUCUUCGUGCUUAUGGCCAAUGAAUUUGCGAAUUCUGAUCGGAUUUGGAAGAAUCGGCGAUCGGCUUUGCAAUCUAAGAUUGGAGAUAUUUCCUGUAAAAGAUUUCCCUCGAUCAAUUCUUAAGGAGAUCUACCUCGUGAGAGCCCUAUCUCUUUUUCUUCCUCUGUCUUUGUGUUCUCUGGGAACGAUAGAAGGUUUCCGCAAUUUCGAUUGUGCAUUAGUCCAAGAUCUUGCUUGAUCUUUCAGGUCUCUGUUGGAUAUGGACGAGUUGUUAAAGUCUACCUAGGGCACUAUCUGCUCGUUUUUGGAGAAUAAUUACAUGUCUCGGUUGGAAUUUGGACGAGUUGGUGAGGUUUACCUUGAUCGAUGACCGAAGAUCUUUCUGGAUGAACACUUGUAUACCCCUAACCUCCAUCAUCACGUCAGCAGAAAAGUUUUUUCUGUGGUGUGCCCUUCGCUGGAAUGGACCUUAAUAGAAAAUGAUUUGUGCCCCAAGGCACUAAGUCCGCCACCGAGUAGAUAAGAAAAGGUGUGCAUGCUGCGUUUGGCCAUAAUUGAACACCAGGAUGUAGCACAACAGCCACAAUUAUGUGUAGGCAAAUGUUUGGAGGAGACAGAUUGUUCAUAGUUCUUCCUUCGUCUGUUGUGACACAAGUGCUGCAAUCAACGCUAGCUCUUUCAUUCUAAAGGUACUCCAAUGCCCUUGAUCCACUGUCGGCCGUGGUUACUGUGGAAAAGGAAACAAAGCACCACCAUCCUGCAGACAGCGAGCAAGCGGUGGGGACUCGCGUAAGGCGGCGAGUGUGUUAAGCUGAAAUUUCUAAUGAAGCUCAGCUUCUAAUGGUAUUAUUCUCAUAAGCUAUGGUGUGGUCACAAUCACGCACUAUAUAUAUAUAUAUAUAUAUAUAUAUAUAUAUAUAUACCUCCAUUUCACUUUUUCUCACCCAGCCACAGAAGCCAUUCUUUUAGGGUUGGCAGAUGUGUGGGAGAGACACGUCUGCUACCUGAUCUCAACCCGUGCACAAGGAGAGAGGAUGAAAAAAGAACAUGACUCUUCGUUUGGAGGCGGAGGGAUGACAGAAGAAAUAA